AAAUUUAUAAUCUGGCACCUUCGGUGUCCGAGUUGUAAUCUCUAGAAAUGUUUUCCGCGUUGGACCGCACACAAGUCUGUUGGAAUACAGCGGCAUAGUGGUGAGACCCCCGUAUAUGGUGCGGACGCCCAGCGCUUUGUGAUACAUUUUCGAAGAGUCGAGUUGUUUGGGAAUGCAGCUCAAAUUGGGUGGUAAAUUCCAUCUAAAGCUAAAUAUUGGCGAGAGACCGAUAGCGAACAAGUACCGUGAGGGAAAGAUGAAAAGCACUUUGGAAAGAGAGUUAACAGUACGUGAAAUUGUUGGAAGGGAAACGCUUGAAGUCAGACUUGCUUGCCGAGCAAUCGGUUUGCAGGCCAGCAUCAGUUUUCCGGGAUGGAUAAUGGUAGAGAGAAGGUAGCAGUUUCGGCUGUGUUAUAGCUCUCUGCUGGAUACAUCUUGGGGGACUGAGGAACGCAGUGUGCCUUUGGCGGGGGUUUCGACCUCUU
rnacentral:rRNA from 1 species